UGCAUGGCAACAAUUUCAAUUUCUUUCUUAGCGAGCGAAACGAAGACCCGCGAGUAUAUCCAAAUCACUCGUUGUUAAAAUUCGUCUGCAAAUUCACGUGUCUAGCAAAAUGGGAGAUCCAGCUGUUAAAAUCGGUGAACUCUCUUUCGGAGAAGGCAUACUUCUAGGACUUGGAAAUCCUUUAUUAGAUAUAUCAGCAAAUACUGACCAUAGUUUCUUGGAAAAAUGUUGCAAGUCGAGUUGUGGUGGAUGGCUUUCUUAUUUCUUCAAAAUAUAAUUCAUCUAUUUUCUUCAUUAUUAUUUCUGUUACUUUCAAGCAUAAUUUGUAAAAAACAUAUCUUCUGUGUUCUAGAAACUUCUGUGUGUCUGCAAUUUUUUUUUAAAAUUUAUUUUUUAACUUUUCAAAUGACUUAUGAAACUAGUUUAAAAUAUACUUUAUCUUUAAAGUAUUAAAGUACACAAAUCGAAAAAAAGGCUGUGUGAUUUGUAUUUCACUGCAUAAUUCAGAUUUAAUUUUCCUCUUUUCAUAUUCGCUGCAUUAUGUACUGACUACUAAUAUCCUGAAAUAUAUCACAUUUUUUUUUUUCAAAUGUGUAAUG